GUGUAAUAUUUUGUACAUAUAAGAUACAAAGAUGAAUACUACAAGAAAAUCUCUUAUCGCCAUUUUAUUCUUAUUGGCCUUCUUCAUCUGUGCAACAGAUGUUUGCUUGGCAGAAGGAAUAUUAUAUUGUAAAAAAGAUCAAGAUUGUCAACCUAACUGUGAAGAUCCUAAUCUAGGAAGGUGUCUUAAGGGAAGAUGUUGGUGUUUUACUCCACCAUCUUCUUCUAAUAAGAGAUCUAUUCAAAUACCCUAAAUAGAUUUUACUGUUUGAUAUUUUGAUGUAAUCAUUAUGUCAGAAUAAAAUGAUAAUAAAAAAUAUUUUAUUUUAUUUUAA